AUUGCCUCAGUAACGGCGAGUGAAGCGGCAACAGCUCAAAUUUGAAAUCUGGCCCCAGGCCCGAGUUGUAAUUUGCAGAGGAUGCUUUUGGCGAGGUGCCUUCCGAGUUCCCUGGAACGGGACGCCAUAGAGGGUGAGAGCCCCGUCUGGUCGGACACCGAGCCUCUGUAAAGCUCCUUCGACGAGUCGAGUAGUUUGGGAAUGCUGCUCUAAAUGGGAGGUAUAUGUCUUCUAAAGCUAAAUACCGGCCAGAGACCGAUAGCGCACAAGUAGAGUGAUCGAAAGAUGAAAAGCACUUUGGAAAGAGAGUUAAAUAGCACGUGAAAUUGUUGAAAGGGAAGCGUUUACGACCAGACUUGGGCCGGUUGAUCAUCCAGCGUUCUCGCUGGUGCACUCUGCCGGCCCAGGCCAGCAUCAGUUCGCCCCGGGGGAUAAAGGCGGCGGGAAUGUGGCUCCUCGGAGUGUUAUAGCCCGCCGUGCAAUACCCUGAGGUGGACUGAGGUUCGCGCUCUGCAAGGAUGCUGGCGUAAUGGUCGUCAACGACCCGUCUUGAAACACGGACCAAGGAGUCGUCUUCGUAUGCGAGUGUUCGGGUGUAAAACCCCUACGCGUAAUGAAAGUGAACGCAGGUGAGAGCUUCGGCGCAUCAUCGACCGAUCCUGAUGUUCUCGGAUGGAUUUGAGUAAGAGCAUACGGGGCCGGACCCGAAAGAAGGUGAACUAUGCCUGUAUAGGGUGAAGCCAGAGGAAACUCUGGUGGAGGCUCGCAGCGGUUCUGACGUGCAAAUCGAUCGUCAAAUAUGGGCAUGGGCGCGAAAGACUAAU
rnacentral:rRNA from 1 species